rnacentral:lncRNA from 1 species
AAGGAUUGAAGGGCGAGCGAGGGAGAGAACUCGAGUCGCGAGCUUAGCCCACCUUCCACUGAGAGACUUCGGGGAAGGCCGGCGGCGAGCGACUUCGAGAAGGUCAGAUCCGGCCGGUGGAGGCUCGGAUCUAGCCUGAGUGAGAGAAAAUCAAGGCUGAGCGAGGGGAGCCGGAGGAGGGAACGCCAGAUCUGUGAAGCCGGAGGCUCUGCGCCACCACUGCAACCGCGGCUCUGCUGCUGCUGUCCCCCGCCCCGACGCCGUGCCGCGACUGACCCGCCAACGCCAGACCAGAUCUGGAAACCGAGGAGCUGCUGUCACUACCCCGCCAUCGUCACCUGCACCUACAGCCCCCUGUCGCCGCCACCGUUCACCACCUCGUCGCGCCGUUGCUGCAAACGGGUAAUAGUAGCCGCCGCCACCGCCCCCAGACGCAUCGUCGCCGUUGCUCAAAACCCUGGCCGCCUCCCCUGCCCAUCGUCGUCGUCACCAUCGUCCCCUCCGCGAGACCUUAACCCCUGACCAAGGAGACCCGCUACGUCUCCGUCGAAUGCCGCACCACCGUCCGCCACGUCGCCACCGUCGUCAGGCGCCGCGCCGCUAUCCGAUGACGUCCCCAGUCCCUCCACCCGCACCGCAGACGGAUGGAGAAGCCAGCGAUCCUGCAUCGGGUCAAGCCGGGUCGGGCGUGGUUCGCGAAACCGGGUAGGGCUUCGCGAGACCUAGGUGGCCGGAAACCAAAUAAGAGUCGGGUCGGGCGCACCUCACCCGGGUAGGGUUUCGGCACAUAUCAUGCGCAUGUCUAUGUGAUUGCCAUCAAUUUUCUCAUGUGAAGUAAGUUUUUAUUUCGUGUAAUUUACUUACCUUCCUGUAUAUAUUAAGUAGUCCAUGAUUAGUGUAGGAUUUAAUAUCGCGGUCAUCUAAAUUUGAAAGUAAUUGUCAUAAAGUUUUUUUUUUUAAGUUUUUCAGUUGAUGUUUUUAUUCUCAAGCAUGUUACAAAAUUCUUUUCCGCAAGAAUUUUCAUUCACCAAAAAAAAAAAGGGGGGAUAGAAAUCUUUUUCAAAAUUUGUUGCAACUCAUGCUUUCUUCGCUUUUCAAAUUGAAUAUCUUUUUAGCUCAUGUUAACAUGUCACGUGCCCUUUUUUAAUCCAUGUUUAGGAAAUCCUCUACCUUUUCAUGAAUAAACAAAAAUAGUAGGAUUAGGUUGUCAUCAUGGACUGACUUCCUAUUUACGCCUUGUAUUCACACACGCUUGUUUACUCAUGAUCAGGUAAUCACGGAACGUCAACAUUCGCCGAUCCAGACUCGUUCAAAAGCAAGAGCAAGAAUGGCCGAAGAAAAUGUACCAAGCCGUAUUGCGGUCAUGGAAAGUGAAAUGAAGCAAGUCUUUAAUGUGCUUCAACAACUUUCAAAGCAGAUAGACUCCAUCCAGGGCAAACUCACUCCCGCCCCGGCCUCAAUCGAGGUAUUGUUGCCACAAUCAUCUACUAGGGGUGAUCAAGGUGGAGAUACCAACGAUAACAUGCCCGAAUUGAAGGAUAAUCCGCACCCAACCAUGAUCGAGAAAGCUAGGCCAGACAGUUUGUCUAAAACUGAGCAUGACAAACGCCUCGAAAAGCUUGAGGAGAAGCUGAAAGAACUGCAAGGCCUCCAAGAUCCUACUUUGACGGACCUCUCCAUUUAUUCCAAUGUCAAAAUGCCGGAAAAAUUCAAAAUGCCUGAGUUUGAGAAGUACGAUGGCACAACUUGCCUUAGGGCUCAUUUGCAAAUGUACUUGGUUCGAAUGACCCAAUACGUUAAUAAUGCACCAUUAAUGAUCCAGUUGUUCCAAUCAAGUCUAAUAGGCCCUGCCCUGAGGUGGUACAUUACAAAGAACAUGAAUCUCCUUGAAACAUGGAACGAGGUGAGUGAGGCAUUCCUCAAGCAGUGUAAGUUCAUAAUGGACAUUACCCCUUCUCGUGAGGAUCUUGAGCGAACUGAAAAGAAAAAGCAUGAAUCGUUCAAAGAAUAUACUAUCCGAUGGAGGAAUCUGGCUGCCCAAAUCAGUCCUGAGCCAACCGAUUUUGAGCUGAGAAAGAUGUUUAUCAAAACCCUCCCUUACGAGUACCGCAAUCGAAUGGUAACCACGAUCGCCGAAUCAUUUAAUCAACUCAUUCCAAUAGGGGAGCAAAUCGAGAUAGGGUUGAGGGAUGGUUGGUUCACCGAACCUGCAUCCACGGGCAGGUUCAGCAUGAAGAAAGAUAAAGAACCCCUGGUAGAUGUCAAUGCGACCUACAAUCAUUCUCCAACAAUUCAGACAAGUGCAAGACAGCAACAGACCACCAGCUAUCAGCCAUCCCAAUGUUACAGUAACAAGAGACAAUUUACUCCUCUUCCUGGAUCUCCGUCACAGGUACUGGCAAUCCUCCGGAAGAAGAACCUCCUUUCCAUUGAGCCAAAGCGACCCAACACUGAAAUUUUUUCCAACUAUGACCCGUCAAAGAUAUGCGACUAUCACAUGGAAGAAGUGGGGCAUUCGACUGAUGAGUGCUUCGCCCUCAAGAGUUGAAUCCAGAACCUGUUAGACACUAAAGCUUUCUCAUUCCAGACCAAUUCACUCCCAGAUCACACCGACAAAGUAAAUGUAGUAUUCAGUUUUGAAGACAGUUAGAGCAGAAAUGUCGAAGCACAUACUGUUGACAUUCAUCAAGGGCUGGUGAAGGCCGGGUAUUAUUCAGGCAAUGAAGUGCCACCCUUAGCAACAGAGAAAUAAGGGCCAAAUGACAUGACCACCAUGUUUUGAGACCUUUUCAUGGACACCAUCAAUGAAGGACCGUAAGGGGAAAUGGGUGCAGGCUCGCUCGAGUAGAACCCUUUUUUUUUAUUUCCUUUCGUAUUCCCCUACGUGGGAACUUGUACCUCUUUCUUAAGUCUGGCUUAUUUUUAUUUUCAACAUCAGUUCCGCGUGAAGAACUAACUUUUGAAAACACUUUUCCAAAAUGUAAAUCCACCUAUUAAAUAAAGUUGAAAAUAUUUUGAGAGCAUGAGGCGGUAUCCCAAACCAGCCCAGUGAUGCUAUCCAACCAUGAAAAGAAAAUAUCAUCCAAGGAGAAUACUGAGGGCUGGGCUUCCUCAUGCUUUUUCUCCCCCGAAUACAUAUUUUGAAAACAAAAAACACUUCAUCACCAAAAUCUUUCAAAAAAGAUGAUAAAUUUAAUCAUGUUUGUCUUUCUGACUCACUCACUUCAUGUCUCAGAAUAUCAUCCCCUUUGACUUAGUGUGACCAAGAGGCAUUUAAAGCUGGCACAUCGUGUGAGCUCGCCAAAUUCAAAAACACCCUUUCAAGAAGGCAGUAGGGCAAACAGAAAAGAUCAUCCCACUUCAAAGAAGGUAAGUUUUAUUCUCUAAAUAUAAUUUUAGAAAUGAAGUCCUUUCUCUUCUAUUUACAGGAAACAAAAAUCAGACGUAAUAGGUACAGGCAUACGGUUGAAAUCAAGCCGUUCCCAAGAGCUCUAUACACUCCACCUUGCUCCCGCCCAACUCCUUCUCAAGUCGUAGCAACAUCUUUUCCCCACAACAUGCCUGAGCAGCUAGAUGUUGUGGUUUCAUCAAUGGGAUUUCCAGCUUUGACAAGCCAAGAAGCACAGAAAAGGAAUUUCUUCUCUUGAAUUGGAUACUGUCAACAGGGAGAAAAUCUAGACAGUUGAAGCGGUCUCCAGCCCCCUAUUCAAAAUGAGGACCUAGAAACCUCACUUCGUGCUCCAGACGCAUGCUCUCCCAAGAAGUAAUUGCCAUCAGAGAAUUAGAGACAAAAUUCCACAGAAGGAAGGCGUUGCAAAUCAUCAAUCGUGUACACAAGGCCAUAAAUGAGGAGGGCCAAUCGAAAGAAAUGUUGAACUGUGUCAAAGAUGAAGAGGCUGUCAUCAGUACAUCAGUAUACAUAAAUCCUUCGGAAUCAACAAAUACAAACUCUGGGGAAGGGUGACUUUGUAUCGUUUCCAAUACCCCCACUAUCUGAACUCACUUUUGACAUAUUUUCUCCUAUUGACAGGAAGCAUAGGAUUCAAGAAACAAGCUUAAUGGUUAAUUUGGGCAAAUCAAGUGACCUAUAUCGAUUUAUCUAGCUCGGUAUGAAAGGACGUGUCGUCCAGGAGCCGGUUCGGUUAAAUGAAAAAAGAAGUGUCCUACGGACACCGUCGGCGCCUCUAGCCGAGUGGUAUCCGGGAAGAAGCAAAAUGGUCUGAAGUCGGGGGUUCGAAUCCCCGACGCGGCAGUUAGCCGCUUGGUAAAAAAUUUGCUUCUCUUGCGCCUGCAAAUUACGAGAAAGCAGGUGACCUAACGAAGCAAGGGACAUAGGACUUCGUGUCCCCAUCUCACUUCAGGUUCACCCAAUCGUCUGCAAACCAGUGAAGGGCAAAGUUGUAUCGAUUCCAGUUAUUCGACUCUUGAAAAAGUUCAUGACUAAUACAUUCCCUCUUGUUUGUUGUAGGAUCACCUGACUGUCAAAAGCAAAGAUAACAAAUCAAUGAGAGGCAUGACAAACUCUCCCAAGCAAAAUGGCGUCUCGAGUAUCGGCAAAACAAAUGACAGAGAUCCUUCAGGCCUCAAUUCACCUUUAAUUUUGGCCCCAUUGAUUGAUCCAUUUACAUCUUCUCAUCUGCAGGGGCAAAAGUAGAGAUGCCCGAUCAAAUCCCCAACCUCGACUGAUCCUUCAUGUGUCAUAUCCCUAAUCAAUAAGGACAACCAUUGACACCCAUUUGCAAAUAACCCUUUUAAUGUUCAAAAUUUAACAUAUUUGGAAACACCAUUAUGUUAGCUCCUAAAGUUGUCAAUAGGGUCUUUUUUGAGUCAAAACCAUUCACUUGUUUUGAAGAGUUCAAACUCCAUCAUAUUCAAAAUGUUGCAUGUCAUUUCCAGAUGAAUUCUGCAUGAUGAUUUUGUCUGUUUAAGUCACUGAUUCCACUAAGGAUUAUCAGAAUAGACAGCUAAGUGAAGAAUACAAGAUUAAUUGAGCAUGCUGGAUGAGGCGUGUCAGAAUGAUGACAGGCAAGCCAUAUCCUACACACAGUCCCCCAUCUAUACACUUGUGAGAUGAAUGCAGAAGAUUCCAUGGCUGCAGGGUAAAGAGUUCUCUCGCGAAUGGUAAGAUAACCAAAAUAGUGAGAGGCAUUCCAUCGCUCACCCCAUUGAGCCCCAUACAUUGGUGAAGCUUCUCUCAUACCCCCAUCAAGAACAACCCCUACACCGGGGCAGAUUAGAAGCGAAGCAGCAUCACAAGGUGAGAAGAGAGAUAGAAAUUUUCUUGCUCGCACUUGCAUCAAUCUUCGGGUGUCCUUAUUGUAUAUGAACUCUCACAUUAAUUUAAGUGCCAUAAAAUGACGAAGAGCAAUUCUUUCUACACUUUUAUUCAUUGUACAACCUAAUUGAGUUUGUAAUUUCACCAUCACAUGGAGGCAAAACAGAAGUUACUGCAAUUUAAGUAGCAUAGUCUAGAGCGCUAGCUGAAGAUGAAGACUCAAGAGUCUAACAACAGUGUCAUGAUUGAACUUGCCUAGGCUAGUUCUUCUAACGACAAGCAUGAAAAAAAACAAGGAUAUAAAAAAGCAGUGUACCUGAUAAAAGCAAGGUCAAUGCCCAUAAAUGAAUAACUGGAAUAAAAAUAAGGGCAUGAAAAAGCAGUGUGCCUAGUAAAAGCAAGGCCAAUGCCCCCCAGUCAAAAAUAUAGCCAAGAAAAUGUUGCUGUUGUGGUCCAUAGAACCUCCAUUUGACAGUGAGAGGAAAGACUGGUGACAAAUGUCAAGGCAAUCACCAGCUCUCAUCCUUUUACACAUAAAUCAAGCCUACGUUACAAUCCCAUUGUAAAAGUCUCUUCAGACUAGGGCACUUCAAUUAAUGUAGGAUUUCAUGUGUACAUAAGCAUCGCUCGAAGAAGUACGAGCAAGAUUACUCUAUCUCUUUUCACAGGAUUCUUGACUUGCAAACCCGGAGAUGAUCAUGCGGCACUUCGUUCAUGAGCCUUGACCUCGACGGUCCCAUUUGAUGAGCCGUUGACCAAAUCUUCGUCACAGUUUCAACAAAGACCUCUCACAUUGGUAAAGUCGUACCACUUGCGAGAAUACUCGGACCCCUGCUAACAUGAUGACAGUGAGAUAGUGUGGUCCUUAUAAAUCCUGCAUCAAUGGUCAGGAUAGCAUUUUCCAUGAGAGUGAGCAAAAAGUCAUUUCAGACUGAAAGUCCCUCAUCUGGCAUGCUCAAGACAUCUACAUUCUGAAUAAAGGUUGUCUUUCAAAAUCUUCCCCAGUGGAAUUCGAAUGAUACAAAGCAGACAAAGUUGUCAUGCAUGAAUCACAUUUAAAUUCAUGAAUUUACAGCAUAUACAAUCAUGUGUGCAUAUUGUGCAAAUAGCAUACAUACUCUCAGAGAUCAGAGAUAUUACCAGGUAAGCAUAUUUCCAUCCACAUUUGUCUUAAGGUACCUACCACUGUCUAGGUACUCUCUUCUUGACACUCGACCUAUUCGAAUUGUCCAUUGAGUUUCGAUGCUUGCAACUGUCUUAGCAUCAUCCCAUUGUCUUUGAGUACCGGCCACCGUCCGGAUACUCCUUUUUCCUAACACUCGACCUAUUCGAGUUGUCCCCAGAGUAUUGAUACUUGUGACUGACCAAGUAUCCCUUUAUCAUUGAAUACCUACUGUUGUCUAGGUAUCCCUAUUGUCUUUGAGUACCGGUCACCAUUCGGAUACUCCCUUUUCCUGACACUCGACCUAUUCGAGUUGUCCCCAGAGUAUUGAUACUUGUGACUGACCAAGUAUCCCUUUAUCGUUGAAUACCUACUACUGUCUAGGUAUCCCUAUUGUAUUCGAGUACUGAUCACCGUUCGGAUACUCCCUUUUCCUAACACUUGACCUAUUCGAAUUGUCCAUUGAGUUUCGAUGCUUGCAACUGUCUUAGCAUCAUCCCAUUGUCUUUGAUUACCGGCCACCGUCCGGAUACUCCUUUUUCCUAACACUCGACCUAUUCAAUUUGUCCCUAAAGUAUUGAUACUUGUGACUAACCAAGUAUCUCUUGGAAUACCUACUACUGUCUAGGUAUCCCCAUAUCGUCAAGUACCCACCGUUGUCCAGGUACUUCCUUUUCAUGACACUCAACUUGCCCAAGUUGUCCCCAAAUAAUACAGCUGUUCAAGCAUUCCACUGCUUUGUGUGCCUGUGCCUACCCAGAUAUACUUUCUUACACUUGGACCAACUAAGUGGUCCCAGGUUGUAUCAUUAAAUACUUGUGUUCAUCCAAGUAUUCCAGUACUUUGUACACCUGUGGUUAUCCAGGUGUUCCACCCCUUUUAAGUGCCUGCGGCCAUCCAAGUAAGCCUCGUGCUACAUUCAAGUUUAUGUUACCAGGAGGUGAGAGACCAUCAUGAAUAUGCGAGGCAUAUCCUCAAUAUUCCCAAUUACCAUGAGGUGAGAAACCUUCAUGAAUAUCCAAGGUACGUCCUCAAUAUUCCCAAUUACCAGGAGGUGAGAGACCUUCAUGAAUAUCUAAGGUACGUCCUCGAUAUUCCCAAUUACUAGGAGGUGAGAGACCUUCAUGAAUAUGCGAGGCACGUCCUCAAUAUUCCCAAUUACCAGGAGGUGAGAGACCUUCAUGAAUAUCCAAGGUACGUCCUCGAUAUUCCCAAUUACCAGGAGGUGAGAGACCUUCAUGAAUAUGCGAGGCACGUCCUCAAUAUUCCCAAUUACCAGGAGGUGAGAGACCUUCAUGAAUAUCCAAGGUACAUCAUCGAUAUUCCCAAUUACCAGAAGGUGAGAAACCUUCAUGAAUAUCUACCAGGAGGUGAGAGACCUUCAUGAAUAUGCGAGACCCACCCUCGAUAUUCCCAAUUACCAGGAGGUGAGAAACCUUCAUGAAUAUCCAAGGUACGUCCUCGAUAUUCCCAACUACCAGGACGUGAGAGACCUUCAUGAAUAUCCAAGGUACAUCCUCGAUAUUCCCAAUUACCAGAAGGUGAGAAACCUUCAUGAAUAUCCAAGGUACGUCCUCGAUAUUCCCAACUACCAGGAGGUGAGAGACCUUCAUGAAUAUGCGAGACUCACCCUCGAUAUUCCCAAUUACCAGGAGGUGAGAAACCUUCAUGAAUAUCCAAGGUACAUCCUCGAUAUUCCCAUUACCAGGAGGUGAGAGACCUUCAUGAAUAUGCAAGACCUAUCCUCGAUAUUCCCACAUACCAGGCGGUGAGAGACCUUCACGAAUAUCUUAGGUACGUCCUCGAUAUUCCAUCCACCAAGAGUUUGUACCUGUGAUCGUCCAGGUACCCCUUCGAUACUUGUGAUCAUCCAGGUAUCUCCAAAGAGUUUGUACCUGUGAUCGUCCAGGUACCCCUUCGAUACUUGUGAUCAUCCAGGUAUCCCCAAAGAGUUUAUACCUGUGAUCGUCCAGGUACCCCUUCGAUACUUGUGAUCAUCCAUGUAUCCCCCAAGAAUUUGUACCUGUGAUCGUCCAGGUACUCCUUCGAUACUUGUGAUCAUCCAGGUAUCUCCAAAGAGUUUUGUACCUGUGAUCGUCCAGGUACCCCUCCGAUGCUUGUGAUCAUCCAAGUAUCCUCCAAGAGUUUGUACUUGUGAUCAUCCAAGUACCAUCUCCCAACAAGCAGAUGCCCUGAGAAAGGUCGGCACAUCUCUCGUCAAGGCGACCGAAGAAAGGUUCGGGUCCUAGACAAACAACUUAUUGCUCUAACAAGCAACCGAAGAAAGGUUCGGGUCCUAGAAAAGCAAUUCCCCGUCAAGGCGACCGAAGAAAGGUUCGGGUCCUAGAAAAGCAAUUCCCCGUCAAGGCGACCGAAGAAAGGUUCGGGUCCUAGACAAACCGACUUAUUGCUCUAACAAGCGACCGAAGAAAGGUUCGGGUCCUAGACAAACCACUUAUUGCUCCAAUAGGCGACCGAAGAAUGGUUCGGGUCCUAGAGAAGCAAUCUCCUCAUGCAACAAGUAAGAUGACGCCUUGAUACCUGCCAAAACUCGGGGUUCACACCCUAUCUCACUCACUCCCGGUAAGUAACUACAGGUAUCUUCUUAUCUGUUUUAGUAUGUGUAAUAUUAAAUUGCUCUUUUUCCGCAUAGAAUAAUAAAUCUCAAAUAAAAUAUAAUCUACUACGCAUACAUGGAUAAAAUUGAGGCAUCAGUCUGUCUUUGAAUGCAACCUCUCCGAGCUCACCUUCAAAGAGGGGCAGCUGUUGACACCUUAAUUUUAAUUAGGUUAAUUUUAUUUUAUUAAGUUUUUAUUUUAUUUUGUCAUUUCGGAUAAAUAAGAUAAUUAAUAAAAAAACAAAGCAAAAACCAAUAGAAAAACAAAAGCCAGCCCAGCCCCCUCUUUUUCUUUUCCACGCAGGCCCAAGGCCCAGCCAUUUUCCCCAAAGCCCGGCCCCCUUCUUUUCUUCUUCUUCCUUCUUCCUUCUUCCCUCUUCUUCCCCCUACGCCUCUGCAACUCACGUGCACAGAAGACGACGACGCGCGCGAAGGACGGCCUACGGCCGAGGGGAGUAGGCCAACGUCGGCCGGAGAAGAUAAGAUCUUGAGCGCCAUCAAUGCCGAGCACGCUUCGCUAGGAUGGGACGCCGGUUCAGCCGAGGAGAACUGCUCGGCGCGCAAAGGGGAUCGGCGGUCGAAGCUCCGUCGACCGGAUUCCCUCACCUAUAAAAGGGCACCACCUUCGUCGAAGAACAGGAAUCGCAAGCUCGGAGAUCCUUCACUGAGAGACAUCGGGAAGGAUUGAAGGGCGAGCGAGGGAGAGAACUCGAGUCGUGAGCUUAGCCCACCUUCCACCGAGAGACUUCGGGGAAGGCCGGCGGCGAGCGACUUCAAGAAGGUCAGAUCCGACCGGUGGAGGCUUGGAUCUCGCCUGAGUGAGAGAAAAUCAAGGCUGAGCGAGGGGAGCCGGAGGAGGGAACGCCAGAUCUGUGAAGCCGGAGGCUCUGCGCCACCGCUGCAACCGCGGCUCUGCUGCUGCUGUCCCCCGCCCCGACGCCGUGCCG